AUUGAACGCUGGCGGCAGGCUUAACACAUGCAAGUCGAGCGGGGUGAUGGUGCUUGCACUAUCACUUAGCGGCGGACGGGUGAGUAAUGCUUAGGAAUCUGCCUAUUAGUGGGGGACAACAUCUCGAAAGGGAUGCUAAUACCGCAUACGUCCUACGGGAGAAAGCAGGGGAUCACUUGUGACCUUGCGCUAAUAGAUGAGCCUAAGUCGGAUUAGCUAGUUGGUGGGGUAAAGGCCUACCAAGGCGACGAUCUGUAGCGGGUCGGGGAGGAUGAUCCGCCACACUGGGACUGAGACACGGCCCAGACUCCUACGGGAGGCAGCAGUGGGGAAUAUUGGACAAUGGGGGGAACCCUGAUCCAGCCAUGCCGCGUGUGUGAAGAAGGCCUUAUGGUUGUAAAGCACUUUAAGCGAGGAGGAGGCUCUUUUGGUUAAUACCCAAGAUGAGUGGACGUUACUCGCAAAAUAAGCACCGGCUAACUCUGUGCCAGCAGCCGCCGUAA
rnacentral:rRNA from 1 species